rnacentral:rRNA from 1 species
AUAGCGUAUAUUAAAGUUGUUGCGGUUAAAAAGCUCGUAGUUGGAUUUCUGUUGAGGACGAUCGGUCCGCCUUCUGGGUGAGUAUCUGGCUCGGCCUUGGCAUCUUCUUGGAGAACGUACUGCACUUCAUUGUGUGGUGCGGAAUCCAGGACCUUUACUUUGAGGAAAUUAGAGUGUUUCAAGCAGGCGCACGCCUUGAAUACAUUAGCAUGGAAUAAUAAGAUAGGACCUCGGUUCUAUUUUGUUGGUUUCUAGAGCUGAGGUAAUGAUUAAUAGGGAUAGUUGGGGGCAUUCGUAUUUAACUGUCAGAGGUGAAAUUCUUGGAUUUGUUAAAGACGGACUACUG